AAAUUGAAGAGUUUGAUCAUGGCUCAGAUUGAACGCUGGCGGCAGGCCUAACACAUGCAAGUCGAACGGUAACAGGAAGCAGCUUGCUGCUUUGCUGACGAGUGGCGGACGGGUGAGUAAUGUCUGGGAAACUGCCUGAUGGAGGGGGAUAACUACUGGAAACGGUGGCUAAUACCGCAUAACGUCGCAAGACCAAAGAGGGGGACCUUCGGGCCUCUUGCCAUCAGAUGUGCCCAGAUGGGAUUAGCUUGUUGGUGAGGUAACGGCUCACCAAGGCGACGAUCCCUAGCUGGUCUGAGAGGAUGACCAGCCACACUGGAACUGAGACACGGUCCAGACUCCUACGGGAGGCAGCAGUGGGGAAUAUUGCACAAUGGGCGCAAGCCUGAUGCAGCCAUGCCGCGUGUAUGAAGAAGGCCUUCGGGUUGUAAAGUACUUUCAGCGGGGAGGAAGGUGUUGUGGUUAAUAACCACAGCAAUUGACGUUACCCGCAGAAGAAGCACCGGCUAACUCCGUGCCAGCAGCCGCGGUAAUACGGAGGGUGCAAGCGUUAAUCGGAAUUACUGGGCGUAAAGCGCACGCAGGCGGUCUGUCAAGUCGGAUGUGAAAUCCCCGGGCUCAACCUGGGAACUGCAUUCGAAACUGGCAGGCUUGAGUCUUGUAGAGGGGGGUAGAAUUCUAGGUGUAGCGGUGAAAUGCGUAGAGAUCUGGAGGAAUACCGGUGGCGAAGGCGGCCCCCUGGACAAAGACUGACGCUCAGGUGCGAAAGCGUGGGGAGCAAACAGGAUUAGAUACCCUGGUAGUCCACGCCGUAAACGAUGUCUACUUGGAGGUUGUGCCCUUGAGGCGUGGCUUCCGGAGCUAACGCGUUAAGUAGACCGCCUGGGGAGUACGGCCGCAAGGUUAAAACUCAAAUGAAUUGACGGGGGCCCGCACAAGCGGUGGAGCAUGUGGUUUAAUUCGAUGCAACGCGAAGAACCUUACCUGGUCUUGACAUCCACAGAACUUUCCAGAGAUGGACUGGUGCCUUCGGGAACUGUGAGACAGGUGCUGCAUGGCUGUCGUCAGCUCGUGUUGUGAAAUGUUGGGUUAAGUCCCGCAACGAGCGCAACCCUUAUCCUUUGUUGCCAGCGAUUAGGUCGGGAACUCAAAGGAGACUGCCAGUGAUAAACUGGAGGAAGGUGGGGAUGACGUCAAGUCAUCAUGGCCCUUACGACCAGGGCUACACACGUGCUACAAUGGCGCAUACAAAGAGAAGCGACCUCGCGAGAGCAAGCGGACCUCAUAAAGUGCGUCGUAGUCCGGAUUGGAGUCUGCAACUCGACUCCAUGAAGUCGGAAUCGCUAGUAAUCGUGGAUCAGAAUGCCACGGUGAAUACGUUCCCGGGCCUUGUACACACCGCCCGUCACACCAUGGGAGUGGGUUGCAAAAGAAGUAGGUAGCUUAACCUUCGGGAGGGCGCUUACCACUUUGUGAUUCAUGACUGGGGUGAAGUCGUAACAAGGUAACCGUAGGGGAACCUGCGGUUGGAUCACCUCCUUACCUUAAAGAA
rnacentral:rRNA from 1 species